GACUACAAGGGUAUCUAAUCCUGUUUGCUCCCCACGCUUUCGCGCCUCAGUGUCAGUAUCAGGCCAGGAAACCGCCUUCGCCACUGGUGUUCCUCCCGAUAUCUACGAAUUUCACCUCUACACCGGGAAUUCCGUUUCCCUCUCCUGUACUCGAGUUAUGAAGUUUCAGAUGCAGUUCUUCAGUUAAGCCAAAGGAUUUCACAUCUGACUAUCACAACCACCUACGCGCCCUUUACGCCCAAUAAUUCCGAACAACGCUUGCACCCUCCGUAUUACCGCGGCUGCUGGCACGGAGUUAGCCGGUGCUUCUUCCUGCGGUACCGUCAAACCCUGCAGGUAUUAACUACAGGGCUGUUCUUUCCGCACGAAAGGGCUUUACAACCCGAAGGCCUUCAUCACCCACGCGGCGUCGCUGGGUCAGGCUUUCGCCCAUUGCCCAAUAUUCCCCACUGCAGCCUCCCGUAGG
rnacentral:rRNA from 1 species